rnacentral:rRNA from 1 species
UGGGGAAUUUUGGACAAUGGGCGAAAGCCUGAUCCAGCAAUGCCGCGUGUGUGAAGAAGGCCUUCGGGUUGUAAAGCACUUUUGUCCGGAAAGAAAUCCUUGGCUCUAAUACAGUCGGGGGAUGACGGUACCGGAAGAAUAAGCACCGGCUAACUACGUGCCAGCAGCCGCGGUAAUACGUAGGGUGCAAGCGUUAAUCGGAAUUACUGGGCGUAAAGCGUGCGCAGGCGGUUUUGUAAGACGGAUGUGAAAUCCCCGGGCUUAACCUGGGAACUGCAUUCGUGACUGCAAGGCUAGAGUAUGGCAGAGGGGGGUAGAAUUCCACGUGUAGCAGUGAAAUGCGUAGAGAUGUGGAGGAAUACCGAUGGCGAAGGCAGCCCCCUGGGCCAAUACUGACGCUCAUGCACGAAAGCGUGGGGAGCAAACAGGAUUAGAUACCCUGGUAGUCCACGCCCUAAACGAUGUCAACUAGUUGUUGGGGAUUCAUUUCCUUAGUAACGUAGCUAACGCGUGAAGUUGACCGCCUGGGGAGUACGGUCGCAAGAUUAAAACUUAAAUGAAUUGACGGGGUCAUAGCUGUUUCCU